CUGGGAGAUGAAUGUUUACUUC
rnacentral:miRNA from 1 species